UACGAAGGGGGCUAGCGUUGUUCGGAUUUACUGGGCGUAAAGCGCACGUAGGCGGAUCGUUAAGUCGGGGGUGAAAUCCUGGAGCUCAACUCCAGAACUGCCUUCGAUACUGGCGAUCUUGAGUCCGGAAGAGGUGAGUGGAACUCCUAGUGUAGAGGUGGAAUUCGUAGAUAUCAGGAGGAACACCGGUGGCGAAGGCGGCGGCCUGGACCGGUACUGACGCUGAGACGCGAAAGCGUGGGGAGCAAACAGG
rnacentral:rRNA from 1 species